rnacentral:lncRNA from 1 species
UUCCCAUACCCCGUCCGGAAUGAGCGACAAAAGAUACCAUUUUUAAUUAACAUGGCCUCCUAUGUGGUACUGUGUCAACGUGCUUUGCCACGCGACACGCUUCUGUUCGUCAAGGCUGUUGACUGGGUGUCUUACGUGGCACAUUAUUAAUGGAGCCGAAACCGGUUAGUUAUUUAUUUGUUCUAUUUAACUGAUUGUUGAAUUUACAGCUUUAAAUACAUGAUAAUAUAUUGCAACAGUUAAAUAAUUCAAUUGUACUUCUUUGAUAUAUAUAUUGUUUGUCUUGCGUGAUUUAUGGUUAAUUUAUGAAAUGAAGGAUUAAUAUGCAAAACGAAAAAUUGUUUGGUCAUGUGAAUUAAUGAAAUUACAGCCUUACUAGAUAUCCUGGGAUGGUGGGACGGAUCAGGUACAUAGAGAACCCUACCGUGAACAUUGUCUCAUACCGGACGAGAUAUCGAGGAAUGAUAUUUUUGGCGCUUAUACUGGACGGGGUAUGGGGACGACCCGAUUUACUCUCAUAUUGAAUGGGGUAUUGAGAGAUGAUAUUUUUUGUGCUCAUAUC